UACGGAGGAUGCAAGCGUUAUCCGGAAUGAUUGGGCGUAAAGCGUCCGCAGGUGGCUAUGUAAGUCUGCUGUUAAAGAGUGAGGCUCAACCUCAUAAGAGCAGUGGAAACUACAUUGCUAGAGUGCGUUCGGGGCAGAGGGAAUUCCUGGUGUAGCGGUGAAAUGCGUAGAUAUCAGGAAGAACACCGGUGGCGAAAGCGCUCUGCUGGGCCGCAACUGACACUGAGGGACGAAAGCUAGGGGAGCGAAUGGG
rnacentral:rRNA from 1 species